rnacentral:rRNA from 1 species
GGGCGUUAAGUUGCAGGGUAUAGACCCGAAACCCGGUGAUCUAGCCAUGGGCAGGUUGAAGGUUGGGUAACACUAACUGGAGGACCGAACCGACUAAUGUUGAAAAAUUAGCGGAUGACCUGUGGCUGGGGGUGAAAGGCCAAUCAAACCGGGAGAUAGCUGGUUCUCCCCGAAAGCUAUUUAGGUAGCGCCUCGUGAAUUCAUCUCCGGGGGUAGAGCACUGUUUCGGCUAGGGGGCCAUCCCGGCUUACCAACCCGAUGCAAACUGCGAAUACCGGAGAAUGUUAUCACGGGAGACACACGGCGGGUGCUAACGUCCGUCGUGAAGAGGGAAACAACCCAGACCGCCAGCUAAGGUCCCAAAGUCAUGGUUAAGUGGGAAACGAUGUGGGAAGGCCCAGACAGCCAGGAUGUUGGCUUAGAAGCAGCCAUCAUUUAAAGAAAGCGUAAUAGCUCACUGGUCGAGUCGGCCUGCGCGGAAGAUGUAACGGGGCUAAACCAUGCACCGAAGCUGCGGCAGCGACGCUGAUGCGUUGUUGGGUAGGGGAGCGUUCUGUAAGCCUGUGAAGGUGGCCUGUGAGGGU